rnacentral:rRNA from 1 species
GACGAACGCUGGCGGCGUGCCUAAUACAUGCAAGUUGAGCGCUGAAGGUUGGUACUUGUACCAACUGGAUGAGCAGCGAACGGGUGAGUAACGCGUGGGGAAUCUGCCUUUGAGCGGGGGACAACAUUUGGAAACGAAUGCUAAUACCGCAUAAAAACUUUAAACACAAGUUUUAAGUUUGAAAGAUGCAAUUGCAUCACUCAAAGAUGAUCCCGCGUUGUAUUAGCUAGUUGGUGAGGUAAAGGCUCACCAAGGCGAUGAUACAUAGCCGACCUGAGAGGGUGAUCGGCCAAAUUGGGACUGGGACACGGCCCAAACUCCUACGGGAGGCAGCAGUAGGGAAUCUUCGGCAAUGGACGAAAGUCUGACCGAGCAACGCCGCGUGAGUGAAGAAGGUUUUCGGAUCGUAAAACUCUGUUGGUAGAGAAGAACGUUGGUGAGAGUGGAAAGCUCAUCAAGUGACGGUAACUACACAGAAAGGGACGGCUAACUACGUG